rnacentral:tRNA from 1 species
AGGGGGUUAUUUUAAUUUUGAAUAUUUGUUUUGCAAACAAAAGGUUUUUCUCUCUA